AAAAUUUUAAAGGUCGAACAGACCUAACCAUUUAGCCCCUACACCAAAAGUUAAUUUUAAUCCAACAUCGAGGUCGCAAACUUUUUUUUCGAUAAGAACUCUAAAAAAAAAUUACG
rnacentral:rRNA from 1 species